AACAUUAUAUGAAGUGCUCACAACAUUAUACGUUUUUUGUUGUAUGAUGAGAUUGAUGUAUGAUUAGAUCAUUCGGUAAACUUCGUUUUUAGCGGAAAUUACCGAAUCCAUAAUUGGUAAAUUACGGUAAUGCCCAGCAAACAAAUUUAAACAGUUAUUAAAGUCAUGUUAUCAUAAGGCAGUAUACAAUAUUUAAAACUGAUUGAAAUAAGUAAGG
rnacentral:lncRNA from 1 species